rnacentral:rRNA from 1 species
AGCGAACGCUGGCGGCAGGCCUAACACAUGCAAGUCGAACGAACUCUUCGGAGUUAGUGGCAGACGGGUGAGUAACACGUGGGAACGUGCCUUUUGGUUCGGAAUAACUCAGGGAAACUUGUGCUAAUACCGAAUGUGCCCUUCGGGGGAAAGAUUUAUCGCCAUUAGAGCGGCCCGCGUCUGAUUAGCUAGUUGGUGAGGUAACGGCUCACCAAGGCGACGAUCAGUAGCUGGUCUGAGGGGAUGACCAGCCACACUGGGACUGAGACACGGCCCAGACUCCUACGGGAGGCAGCAGUGGGGAAUCUUGCGCAAUGGGCGAAAGCCUGACGCAGCCAUGCCGCGUGAAUGAUGAAGGUCUUAGGAUUGUAAAAUUCUUUCACCGGGGACGAUAAUGACGGUACCCGGAGAAGAAGCCCCGGCUAACUUCGUG